UACGUAGGGGGCUAGCGUUGUCCGGAAUCAUUGGGCGUAAAGCGCGUGUAGGCGGUCCGGUAAGUCCGCUGUGAAAGUCGAGGGCUCAACCCUCGAAUGCCGGUGGAUACUGUCGGGCUUGAGUACGGGAGAGGCGAGUGGAAUUCCUGGUGUAGCGGUGAAAUGCGCAGAUAUCAGGAGGAACACCGAUUGCGAAGGCAGCUCGCUGGAACGUUACUGACGCUGAGGAGCGAAAACGUGGGGAGCGAACAGG
rnacentral:rRNA from 1 species